rnacentral:rRNA from 1 species
UUCCGCCAGGUGCACCGAUUAGUAGCUAUGUACGGAACGAGUAAUGGCUGGAAGCAGCUAAGCGUGAAGCCCCCCUCAAGAUGAGAUUUCCCAAUUAGUAAGACCCCUUGAAGACGACGAGGUAGAUAGGUUGGGGGUGGAAGUGCAGUAAUGCAUGGAGCUGACCAAUACUAAUCGGUCGAGGGCUUAUCCUAAA